ACUAUAAUCCUAGGGGGAAAUUGCGAUAUAUAUAUUUGUAAUUUAUUGGUAAAUAUUCUUCAUAUGUAACAUAAAUCACAUUUACGUCAAGAACAAUUUUAUGGAAAAUGUUAACGCCGAACAUUUGGCGGAUAAGCAAAGCAACUGUGCCCGAUAGAGAUGAUGCUUUGGCUAUUUUCGAAAAAAGCAACAUGUUUUUUUUUGGCAAAUAAUAAAAUGUCGAUUGCAACAAAGAAUACGACGCAUUCAUAUGGUAUGCAACGUUAGAUGAGAAAUUUGUCGCCAAUGAUGUGAUGCCACAAUUGGAGAAUAUCGGUCCAAAAUCGUUAAAAAUCGGCUUGUUGGAGCGAGAAAUGCAAGGCGGUGACAUCUUACCAGAUCAGAAAAAUCACGUCAAACUAUUGUAAUUUUAUCACCUUACUCCAUUGAAUAUUUUGAUAAGCUGAAGCAACGCGAAUCAAAGGGUCAACACUCGGACAAGGGAGACAUAGGGCGUAUCAAAAAAUUUCAAUCGGAAAUAAGUGCAUAUUUAACUGCCAACAUCAAUUGCAUUAGGGUGAAGAACGCUUUUUCGAUAAACUCCGUUUGGCAAUUGCACAUUCAAAAUAUUUCAAACAGUUAAACAUGAUUUGGUUUUGUUUAAUUUUUAUUUGGAAAUCGUUUAAGUAACAAAUGUUAGAAUAUUUUUUAGUCGUUUUAUAUCAGUAGAAGUU